GUGCCAGCAGCCGCGGUAAAACGUAGGACGCGAGCGUUAUCCGGAGUUACUGGGCGUAAAGGGCGGGUAGGCGGUCAGUCAAGUUGGAUGUGAAAUCUCCCGGCUAAACUGGGAGGGGGCAUUCGAAACUGAUUGGCUAGAGGACAGCAGAGGGUCGCGGAAUUCCGGGUGGAGUGGUGAAAUGCGUAGAGAUCCGGAGGAACACCAGAGGCGAAAGCGGCGACCUGGGCUGUAACUGACGCUGAACCGCGAAAGCCAGGGGAGCGAACGGGAUUAGAAACCCCCGUAGUCC
rnacentral:rRNA from 1 species